CCUACGGGAGGCAGCAGUAGGGAAUCUUUCACAAUGGGCGAAAGCCUGAUGGAGCAACGCCGCGUGCAGGAUGAAGGCCUUCGGGUUGUAAACUGCUUUUAUAAGCGAGAAAUAUGAUGGUAACUUAUGAAUAAGGAUCGGCUAACUACGUGCCAGCAGCCGCGGUCAUACGUAGGAUCCGAGCAUUAUCCGGAGUGACUGGGUGUAAAGAGUUGCGUAGGUGGCAUAAUAAGUAGCUAGUGAAAUCUGGUGGCUCAACCAUUCAGACUAUUGGCUAAACUGUUAAGCUCGAGACCGUUAGGGGUAACUGGAAUGUCUAGUGUAGGAGUGAAAUCCGUAGAUAUUAGAAGGAACACCGAUAGCGUAGGCAGGUUGCUGGGACGGUUCUGACACUAAGGCACGAAAGCGUAGGGAGCAAACGGGAUUAGAUACCCCAGUAGUC
rnacentral:rRNA from 1 species